UGGCUUUGUUGCGAGGGCAGCGUCAGCUGCUGGCUCCUACUUCCUUUCGGAUUGAAUUCUGUAUUUGUUGACUACGGGCAGGAGCAGAAUAGAAUCAAUCAUGGUUUUUACACCGAGAGAGGCAGCAGAGGCAGAGGCAAACUAAGGGUUCUUUAGGUCUACUCGAUCAGAGGGCAUUGUCAGAACUUCCAGAAGCUGCUACUAAUGUGGAAGAUUUGUCAUAUCUUUGAUUUCUUAGAAGCAUAUUUGCUGCCUUGUAUGGUUGCUCACUCUCACUACACUUUCAACAAAUCUGUCCACUUGCUUUGAUGCUGUAAACGGGCUGUAAACGGGCUGUCAACCUGGACUAUGAAACUACUAGUUUAAGGGUAAAGGGUAAACCAGGAAAUAUUAAGUAGAGGCCGAACAAAACUCUUAACUGACCGCUGACCUUGCCUACAGUUGUACCAGUUACUAUUACAAAUUCUCUGCAUAUAGUAUAGGUAUUCAUUAUACUACUAAGCAACAAGUUUUAGACUGAGAAACCGCCGCUACAAGGCCACUAAUAUGCCUCUAAGGCAACUGCACUGAGUCACUACCCGAGUAUUGAAUUGCUGCUCGCUCUGCUGGUUGACUUAUUUAUUGAAUUGCUGGUUUACUGGCCCUACUUGCCAUACUAGCCCUACAGCGUAAACUCACUACUUCCUUAUUUCUAACUCAUUCCGUUAGUGCUAACACGAGUUACUAAGUUGAAGCGCUAAGUACUUUACUGCUGAAUAUGAGUGUCGUGGAAUUCCAUAAGCCCAUGUUUGUUCCCUUGUCUAACUCACUAACGCCAUGAAUACAGGAACAAAGUUAGGUGAACAGCGGACCUCGAA
rnacentral:lncRNA from 1 species